AUGAGGCGUCCGGUGCGAGCGUGCGGUGGGGAAUUGAGGCGUUAUGGUCCGAGAUAUAUGUAUAUCUCUCUUUCUCUCUCUCUCUCUCUCUUUUCUAGGCAUCUUUUAACUAGUUACUGUUCCUCCUCCGAGAAUAUCCUCCCUUCCUCUUGUUUCGUCUGUGGUUCUUCCUUCUUCUUCCGUUUGUAUCCAGAGGCUGUAAGCGACGCAUUCUUGGCGUGGAGGAGCUCGUUUGUGAUGUUAGGCACCUCAAUGUGCUUGGUGAAUGUCUUGUUGAGCCUGGAAUGCAUCGGUUACACUUUGUAA
rnacentral:rRNA from 1 species